rnacentral:rRNA from 1 species
CUAUGGUUUAUUGGAUCGUACCCGUUAAAUGGAUAACUGUAAUAACUCUAGAGCUAAUACAUGCCUCGAUGCCCUAACUCUGUCGGCUUGCUGCUCGCCUGCGCUGCGUGUAGGUGGUGGCAGGCAGGUAGGCAGGCAGGGUGUGGGUGCACUUAUUAGAUCAGAAGCCAACCAACUGCUCGAACGUUGCGUGUGCAGUGCACUGCUGUAGGCGUGCGUGCGAGUGUUGAGAGGAGACCGCUUCUGGUGACUCUGGAUAAUUGUUACAGAUCGCAGUCGGCCUUGAGUCGGCGACGGGUCCUUCAAAUGUCUGCCCUAUCAACUGUCGAUGGUAGGUGACCUGCCUACCAUGGUGAUAACGGGUAACGGGGAAUCAGGGUUCGAUUCCGGAGAGGGAGCCUGAGAAACGGCUACCACUUCCAAGGGAGGCAGCAGGCGCGCAAAUUACCCACUCCCGGCACGGGGAGGUGGUGACGAAAAAUACCGAUGCGGGACUCCCUCAAGAGGCUCCGUAAUCGGAAUGAGUGGACUCUAAAUCCUUUCACGAGGAUCAAUUGGAGGGCAAGUCUGGUGCCAGCAGCCGCGGUAACUCCAGCUCCAAUAGCGUAUAUUAAAGUUGCUGCAGUUAAAAAGCUCGUAGUUGGAUCUCGGUAGCAUUGUUGCCUGCUGGUAAUUGAGCGGCCGGUGUGUGGUCAACGGUGCGCGGUCGCGCCGGCACACGGUCUGCGUGUGAGCGUGUGGUGAGCGCGGGUCGGUUGGUAGGUUGGCAGGCGAGCUGGUUGGUCGUUGUCGCUGCUGCUGCCGCUAUUGCCGGGUAGUUGGCUAGCUGGCUGGCUGACUGGCUGAGCGGUUGGUUGGCGGGACGGCUGGGUGGUUUGCUUACUGGCUGGACUAACUGGUGCGACGCCCACUACUGCCGCUUGCGUGCAGUGGGUGUGUGUUGGCAGGGAUUGUGUUGCCGUGGCCAUGAAGAAGCACUGUCGUGUCAGGCUGGCAAGGCGAUGGUGUCACCUUUGAGCCAUGUCUGCGGUGUAACAGCUGCAGGUGUGGACGGGUGUUAGGCGGCGCUCUGCACACGUUGUGGAGUCUGUCGGCUCGUCUGCAUGCCUUUGGAUGCCCUUGAAAAGGUGUCUGCGGGCGGAUGGCACGUUUACUUUGAACAAAUUUGAGUGCUCAAAUCAGGCCGAUGUUGCCUGAAAAGUUUUGCAUGGAAUAAUGGAAUAGGACUUCGGUUCUAUUUCGUUGGUUUUCGGAUCCGAAGUAAUGAUCAAAAGAGACAGGCGGGGACGUUUGUAUGGCUGCGCUAGAGGUGAAAUUCAUGGACCGUAGCCAGACAAACUAAAGCGAAAGCAUUCGUCAAGCAUGUUUUCAUUGGCCAUGAGCGAAAGUCAGAGGCUCGAAGACGAUCAGAUACCGUCCUAGUUCUGACCAUAAACGAUGCCAACUGACGAUCCGUGGUGGUAGUAAUGUUACCUUCCCCACGGGCAGUCCCCGGGAAACCUUUAAGUGUUUGGGUUCCGGGGGAAGUAUGGUUGCAAAGCUGAAACUUAAAGGAAUUGACGGAAGGGCACCACCAGGAGUGGAGCCUGCGGCUUAAUUUGACUCAACACGGGAAAACUCACCCGGGCCGGACACUAUGAGGAUUGACAGAUUGAGAGCUCUUUCUUGAUUUGGUGGUUGGUGGUGCAUGGCCGUUCUUAGUUGGUGGAGCGAUUUGUCUGGUUAAUUCCGAUAACGAACGAGACUCCAACCUGCUAAUUAGUGCGUUUGUCCACUGCGCCUGCGUAGGUGACGUUGGAUGACAUCACCUGUCGCGAGGGCGUGGCAGCGACUCUUGUCUCUGCUUCUCCGCCCCAAUGCCCUCCAGCGCCUGCUCCGGCUCCUCCUGCUCCCGCUGCUGCUGCUCCUCCUCCUCCUCCUCGUCCUGCAGCGCCUCUCCUGGCUUGCUGGCUGGCUAGCCGGCUGGCUGGGUGAGGAGGUGCUGGCGGAGGCGGUGGUGGUGGUGGUGGUGGUGGUGGUGGUGGUGAGGGUAAUGGGGUUGGGGAUGGUGCAGGUGGGCGGGUGGAUUGUGGUGGAGGUGUAGGGUUGGGCCGGGCGCUCGUGGCCGGUUAGUCUAGCGUUGGCCUCCGGGUGUGGCGCGAAUGCCUACUUCUUAGAGGGACAAGCGGGAGAAGCCGCACGAAAUAGAGCAAUAACAGGUCUGUGAUGCCCUUAGAUGUCCGGGGCCGCACGCGCGCUACAAUGACGGUGUCAACGAGUCAGGCCUUCUGGCCCGAAAGGGUUGGGCAAACUGGUCAAUCACCGUCGUGACAGGGAUCGGGGCUUGGAAUUGUUCCCCGUGAACGAGGAAUUCCUAGUAAGUGCAAGUCAUAAGCUUGCGCUGAUUACGUCCCUGCCCUUUGUACACACCGCCCGUCGCUACUACCGAUUGAAUGGUUUAGUAAGGUCCUUGGAUUAGCGUCAUUGCGGUGGUGGCCGAGAGGUCGCAGCCCGGCGGGCGCUGAGAAGACGACCGAACUUGAUCAUUUAGA